rnacentral:rRNA from 1 species
UACAGAGGGUGCGAGCGUAAUCGGAAUUACUGGGCGUAAAGCGCACGUAGUCGGCUUUGCAAGUCGGGUGUGAAAUCCCCGGGCUCAACCUGGGAACUGCAUCCGAGACUGCAUUGCUAGAGUAUGGGAGAGGGAAGCGGAAUUUCUGGUGUAGCAGUGAAAUGCGUAGAUAUCAGAAGGAACAUCAGUGGCGAAGGCGGCUUCCUGGACCAAUACUGACGAUCAGGUGCGAAAGCGUGGGGAGCAAACAGG